rnacentral:rRNA from 1 species
UACGUAGGGGGCAAGCGUUGUCCGGAUUUAUUGGGCGUAAAGAGCGUGUAGGCGGCCUUACAGGUCAGCUGUGAAAACUCGAGGCUCAACCUCGAGACGUCGGUUGAAACCGUAUGGCUAGAGUCCGGAAGAGGAGAGUGGAAUUCCUGGUGUAGCGGUGAAAUGCGCAGAUAUCAGGAAGAACACCCGUGGCUAAGGCGGCUCUCUAGUACGGUACUGACGCUGAGACGCGAAAGCGUGGGGAGCGAACAGG